AGUGAACGCUGGCGGUAGGCCUAACACAUGCAAGUCGAACGGCAGCACAGUAAGAGCUUGCUCUUACGGGUGGCGAGUGGCGGACGGGUGAGGAAUACAUCGGAAUCUACUUUUUCGUGGGGGAUAACGUAGGGAAACUUACGCUAAUACCGCAUACGACCUACGGGUGAAAGCAGGGGAUCUUCGGACCUUGCGCGAUUGAAUGAGCCGAUGUCGGAUUAGCUAGUUGGCGGGGUAAAGGCCCACCAAGGCGACGAUCCGUAGCUGGUCUGAGAGGAUGAUCAGCCACACUGGAACUGAGACACGGUCCAGACUCCUACGGGAGGCAGCAGUGGGGAAUAUUGGACAAUGGGCGCGAGCCUGAUCCAGCCAUACCGCGUGGGUGAAGAAGGCCUUCGGGUUGUAAAGCCCUUUUGUUGGGAAAGAAGAGCAGCAGGUUAAUACCCCGCUGUUCUGACGGUACCCAAAGAAUAAGCACCGGCUAACUUCGUG
rnacentral:rRNA from 1 species